GGGUCAGUAGGUUGGUCGUGCCACCGGUACGUACUGGUCUCACUGAUUCCUCCUUCCUGAAGAACAGUUAUGCCAUUAAUUUGGUGUUGCGGGGAAACAGGACUGUUACUUUGAACAAAUUAGAGUGUUUAAAGCAAGCUAACGCUUGAAUACAUUAGCAUGGAAUAAUGAAAUAGGACGAUCGAUCCUAUUUUGUUGGUUUCUAGGAUUGACGUA
rnacentral:rRNA from 1 species